CUGAGACAGUGGCAGAGCGAGCCAGAGGCAGGGAGGAGGCAGCGAAGGAGCAGCUCUCCUCCUGAGUCUCCAUCCCAGAGAAGACCGAGAGGUAGAAGACCGGAGAAGACAGUCCUGUCUCAGCGGUGCAUCCCAGAAGCUCCUGAAGUUCAAACCAUGACGUCCGCUGUGAGCUUGUCUUCAGGUGAAGAGGACGUGAUGUGCCAUGAAGACUGUUAGCUGUGGCUGACCCUCAGAAGACUAAACACAGAGGGUGGUCUUCUGGAGUUGAUGCGGAGACCUGCAACACUGGGAAACUGAACGCUGCUGACCAUGUUCACCUGACACAAGGAAGUGUUUGGGAAAACGCAGCGUGCAGAUAAAACAUACACCAUCAUCAUACUUCCUUCUAUUUAACCAAACUAAAAUAUUUUCCAUCACUAUUCUCCUUAAAAAACUUCUGCUUAGUGCUUAUUCAUGGUAUCACCAGAUAAACAAAAGAAGAAUUUGCUGGUUGGAUUACUAAUUUAACAAUUUAAGGAGUUAAAUGGUGAAAGAAGCAUUCAGAUUCUUUAUUCAAGAUAAAGUGUCAAGAAACUAUAUAACUAGAGACAAUCACACAGUCAAAAUUUUACUGAAGUAAAUGUACAUAAGUAUCUACAAAAUGUACUCAAGGAUCACAAGUUAAAGUUCUCCUUAUCUAGAAUAGCUCAUUAAAAAAUGUUAUUAAGCUGAUAAAUAAACGUUUUGGAGCCAAAAAGUACAAUAUUUUUCUUGAAAUGAAGUGCAGUUGGCAGGCAUUGUACUUGAUGUACUUAAAUUGAUAUAGUUACUUUCCACAGCUGAUGCAAUGAAUUACACUAUUUCACUAGUAAAAUCUUUAUGAAUAUACAUGUACAUAAAAUAGAAAUGACCUAAUUGCAUUACAUUCUUAUAUUUGAAUAGCACCAUAACAUCCUUUCAAAUGAUGUUGUUGGUGUUGAAUACAUGACUAAAAUACGUACAUAUAAGGGUAGCUGCAACCUUUACAUUUGUGCAAUUGUGCAUGAAAAUCCAGCCUUAUGGCAUUUUAAUUAGUAAGAUUAAAUGUAAUCUGUUACCUCGCGACUCACGCCUUGUCUCAUGAGGUCUCACGGAGGAUUUGUGUGGAAUUUUUGAGGUCCUUUCUUCCAUGUGCCGGCCCACCACCAUCUCCUCCACCUCCACCCACCCUCAGUGCAACACGGAUGCAUUAUUAAACUUGUAUAAGAUCAUUAGCAUACAAAGCAGGAAACCUACCGCGAUGGAGUCAUACAUAUUUAUCUGGACGUGCCUGACUUGUACGUGCAUACACUCAUACUGUAACCCCUUUACACACAGGCGUGACUGUCUUUCUGCUGCAGGAGUUCUGUGAACAGACACUAUGAAGUGGAUGAUACUACUGGAGAAGCACAACCAGUUUUAAAGGAUAGAUAAUUACUUGUGCAACAUCUGAAGAAAGACAAGUUAGCAUUUGCCAUAAACUAUAUAUGAAAGCUAGUGUGGCUGCCUGUAGGACUGAGAAGAUGUGUGUAUUUUGGAAACCGAGCAGAUGGAGUUUGGUUAGGUUCAUCAGAACAGUUUGCUUCGAGCAUAUUAAAUAUAGUUUGCACACAGAGGAAUAUACAUAUUCAUCUGCUGCACUCAGAAGCACAUAAUCAAACAGAGAGAAAGCCAAACAGAGGGCAUGUUCUUGUCAAUACUUGCAUCACCCAUGGGUUACAUCUGACUAUCGAAUGACUGUGAAAUCAUUUCCUUUUCUCUCUCCUUCCCUUGUUCCUUUCCUCUUUAAAUCCACCUUUUCUCCACAACCAUGCUAUCGCUGUUCCCUUUCCUUUUUGGAGAUUAUUUUCUACACUUUACUGAUGACAGCACAAACCCUCCUGUUUUUCACAACGUGGAUUCCUCUGUUAAUAUCCCUUUCUCCUACCUUCUUUUUCCUCCCUCCUGUGAGAUUGCUGUUGUGUCUUAUGGCUUUUUAUUCCUACGUGAUGGUAGAUGGGUUCAUGUAGGAGUAGAAGCCACUAAACACGCGGUGAGUGCUCAACGCGUUGGCCAACACACACAGCGAGCUUCCUGUGGAUAUGACAGCUGCCAUGUUCACAUCACUGGUCCUUAAAAAAAUAAAAUAGUCUAGGGUAUUCACUACAGGGAGUGGCUACUGUUUUAGUUUAUCUUUUCAGACCAGAUUUUUAAUGUGAAAAUGUUUUUAAUGACUUAAUUAAAUGGUUAUUAUACUGAAUUGUACAAUUGGACAGCCAAUAGAGUAGAAUGUUGAUGUAGGCUACUUGUGGUCAGACUAAUCAAUCUGAGCAAAUGUGAUGUUCUGAACAGACCUACUUUUUCACAAAGACUUUCCACCUGCAUGCUGGCGGCACAUGCCUUGAAUUUUAAACUCAAUCCUCUGCCCCGAGGUCACUGUACAAGACUGGAGCUGGAUAGUUCUCAAAAUAGAGAUCAGGAGGAGCGGAUGCCACAAUUGAGAAGAAACAACUUGCAGAGGUAGGUCAUUAAUGUUGUUUAACAAUGUCCAGAAUCUGAAGUGACUCCCUAUUUUCCCAUAAAGUGAAGAUGAGAACAUACAGAAAGCUGUUACAUGAUCGUUCAACACUGUCACCGACCUACAGAAGUGUAAAAAUAAACCCUCUCUCAGAAAUCUAGCACACAAUUUACUACAAAUGAAACACAUUUCAAAUAAUCAUCAUUUCAAGCAAACAAAACUUAAAUUUUGGACAUAUUUUUUUUAAUUAUUGCACAUCAGAACUAUGAAUUUCACAUGCUGUUGCCAUCGUGCAUCCAGUUUUCAGCUUUGUAGUCGUGUUUUUUUCCAAUUCAGUUUAAAAUUCACUCAGUUUUUAGCUCUGUUUUGGUCUCCUCCAACUCUUGAGAGAAUGAUCUGGUCCUUAGCUUCUAAAUGCUGCACUUUGUUCACCAGCUGGUCACUAA